CUUUUACUCCCUCCGUUCCAAAUUACUCGUCGCAGAAAUGGAUAUAUCUAGAACUAAAAUACAUCUAGAUACAUCCAUACCCGCGACAAGUAAUUCGGAACGGAGGGAGUAGAAG
rnacentral:pre_miRNA from 1 species